rnacentral:rRNA from 1 species
AGAGUUUGAUCCUGGCUCAGGACGAACGCUGGCGGCGUGCUUAACACAUGCAAGUCGAGGGCAUUCAGGGGCAACUCUGGGUGACCGGCGAACGGGUGCGUAACACGUGAGCGACCUACCUUCUUGUGGGGGAUAGCCGGCCCAACGGCCGGGUAAUACCGCAUACGCUUCCCUUGGGGCAUACUGGGGGAAGGAAACUUCCGGGGCAGGAAGAGGGGCUCGCGGCCUAUCAGCUAGUUGGCGGGGUGACGGCCCACCAAGGCGACGACGGGUAGCUGGCCUGAGAGGGUGGCCAGCCACAUUGGGACUGAGAGACGGCCCAGACUCCUACGGGAGGCAGCAGUGGGGAAUAUUGCGCAAUGGCCGCAAGGCUGACGCAGCGACGCCGCGUGCGGGAGGACGCCCCUCGGGGUGUAAACCGCUGUUGCCCGGGACGAACGGCGCGUUUCGACGCGCGUGACGGUACCGGGUGAGGAAGCACCGGCUAACUCUGUGCCAGCAGCCGCGGUAAUACAGAGGGUGCGAGCGUUGUCCGGAAUCACUGGGCGUAAAGGGCGCGUAGGUGGCGACCCAAGUCAAUGGUGAAAGCUCGCCGCUUAACGGCGAGUCGGCCACUGAUACUGGGUUGCUCGAGCACUGUAGAGGCUAAUGGAAUUCCGGGUGUAGCGGUGGAAUGCGUAGAGAUCCGGGAAGAACACCGGUGGCGAAAGCGGUUAGCUGGGCAGUUGCUGACACUGAGGCGCGACAGCGUGGGGAGCAAACAGGAUUAGAUACCCUGGUAGUCCACGCCGUAAACGAUGGGCACUAGAUGCUUGGGGGAGCGACCCCCUGAGUGUCGCAGCUAACGCAUUAAGUGCCCCGCCUGGGGAGUACGGCCGCAAGGCUGAAACUCAAAGGAAUUUGACGGGGGCCCGCACAAGCGGUGGAGCCUGUGUUUAAUUCGACGCAACGCGAAAACCCUACCUAGCCUGACAUAGCCGGAGAAGGCUCAGAAGGGAGGCCCCUCCUCCGGAAUCCGGUACAGGUGCUGCAUGCUGUCGUCAGGUCGGCGUCUGAGAUGUUGGGUACGUCCGGCACGGAGGGGCAACCCCGUUCCCUGAUACCAGCGGAUAUAGGC